CCGGCUUCCAUUGGGGAGUAGCCGCCUGGAGCCGAUGCUCCGGGGGCCACGUCAACAGACUUGACCGCUGUCGCAACGACAGACGGUUAUGGCGUGGUCAGCCGCACUCAGGGUGCCCCGCACCCGGUGACGCGCCUGGCGAGACCGAUGACACGCCU
rnacentral:sRNA from 1 species